AUGGAGGCGUACAUGGAGGAGCUCUUGUUCUCCGACGAGCUCGACGCGGAGUGCUCCCCGUCGUGGUUCUGCGUUCUCUGUAGGAGGUCGGUUUGCCGGAGCUGUUGCACGGAUCACGGAGAGUUCCACGCUGAUCCUGAGGUGCACGCGCACGCAGAUGCAGAGGCGCUGCUGCUUCAGUGGCAAUUCUGGAAGAAGCUGGGAGGGGGUCAAUUCUGGGAGAAUUGCCCAAAAGAACUGACUCAUACUCUGGGUUACAACUGGUGUGGCAUCCAGAGGGUGCCCGUCGACGGCGAGAGGGACAAGUUCGUUGUCCUCAGGAGGCAGCCUAACUUCAACCGAAGAUUCAAGGCUCACUGUCGCGUCUGCGCUGACAAGAUAGUGGCGGGGAAGGAUAAUGAGUACUGCAGCCCCUUUUGCAAGCUUGAUUCGGUUCACCAUGGCGGAGGCAGAGCUGUGGUUCGCGCGAUGGUCGACGCAGACUACCACACGCUAGCGCAGAGAGACAGGCUGUGCACCAUCUGUGCACUGCCAUAUUCGUCCGACCACUGUCCGGACCACCGUCUCCAUCACGGUGGCGGCGACAAUGCCAUUCUUCAUCUGACCCACCUCGACGGGCGUAUCCUCAUCCCCGAGGAUCAGCUGCCGGGGUUUCUGACGCAGGGAGUUAUGGGGGAGCUGUUCGUGCCCGUCCGACCCCGGGGAGUACUUCUUCCAGGCCCUGCACCACCACAGGAGUGUGCCCGGCAGGGCUGCUUCCAGCCCGUAGAUGCCCAGGGCCAGUCCUGCAGCCUGGUGUGUCGUCAGGUGAGUUCCACGCAGACUGAUCUUCGGGGCAGGGGAGCAGCGACGAAAAAAGCAGGAGCAACCAUUUGGAUUCGGAGCUUCGGAGGCAGAAACGAGGGGAGAGGAGAGGGGAGGGGAGGAGGGCGGCGGCCGGAUAGGCCGCCGAGUGACGGCUCCGCGGUGGUGGGCUCGGCGUGCGGCUCUGCUCUGCGGCGGCCGUGGAGGGCGCGGGCUGCUCUGGGCCUCGCGGGAGGUGGAGCGGCGGCCCUGGGGGUGAGGUCGCCGGCGGGCCUCGUGGUGGCUUGCGUGGGGGGCUCGGAUCCAGAGCCUGGGUGGAUCUGGCCCUCCCUUCAGGCGUGGUGCUUCGCCGCGGGGAGGUGCCCCGGCGGCCAGCGGCGGAGUUGUGUUUGUGCAGCAGCAUGCUCACUCCCCUUGGAGCUUGGCGGCGACCAUGAUGGUGGAGCACUGGCUAAUCCCAAAAUCCAAUUGAAUGCAUGCUGUUUGAUUGAAAAGGAAAGGUUCAGUUAUGGGUUUGCAGGUUGUGCUGUGAACAGGGCAUCAAUGGACGACUCUGAGACAAGGGUUGAUGAUGUUCAUGAAUUGGGGUUCAAAAGAACAUUAUCAAUUGUUCAGUUGCGUCAGAUGAUAAUGAUGUUUGCUGCAUCGCACCCUUUCAGCAAUAGCCGUUUCGAGGGAUCACAAACCUUACCAAACAGAGAGACAGAGAAUUAUAGAAGCUGCAGGCUUUGUGAGGGACGUGGUGUGUUGCUGGUGUUCGUGCUGUUUCUCGAGCAUCUGGUGAUAAACUUACAAAGCAUUCUCAAUGGGCUGCCCCGGAUUUUCUAUUUCCAGGAAGCUGUUGCCAUGGUCAAGCCAAUAGAGGAUCCUGAGCAUGCUGCAAAGGGACUGGUAUUCUCAGACAUGAUGCAUGCCGUUGAACUCUGUAUUUUUACCCUCGGGGAUUACCCGUACCCAGCUGGGUACGGGUAUGGGAACAGUUUGAAACCCAGGGUGCGGGUCCAGGUAUGGGUAUGGACGAAAUUUUUUGAGACGGAUGUGGUUGAUGUGGAUUCAGAACUUGCGGGGCUCCUAGCGUGUUGCCGAGGGGUUCUCCUCACGCAGGAAAUCGACUCCCGGAAGGUGGUGGUGGAGAUGUACUCGCAGACAGCCAUGGGUAAGAUCAACAAUAAGCAGAGGGACGUGCCGGAGAGUGGACAAGUCGUCCAAGAGAUCUAG
rnacentral:rRNA from 1 species